rnacentral:lncRNA from 1 species
CCUCGGCCCGCCCCCUCCUCUCACUUCGGCCCCGGGCCUCUGUGAGAGGAGAACUUACCUAGGUGCACGUCACAGAGGUGUCAGAGGGUAACAAGAUUUCAUGGACCUGGAGGUAAAGGACUUUUGAGAAAGGACCUCUUCAUGGGCCUACGGAAGCCUCAGUGGUGAAGUGGUCCUAUUUUUCCCACUUACUACAUUGUCCUCUCUGCUGCCAUCCUGGAAUCAUCCAUGUGGGUAACUGCUUCGGAGAUAGAGGCCCACUCACCUUGUGUGGACAGCUCUCAGUUCUGCCCAGUAGGAGGUGCUGCAGCGACAGAAGGCCAUUUCUUCUGCUGAAUUUUGAGCUUGGGCUUACCACUUGUGUUCGGAGUCUGGGCCCGAGGAGUGACAGGUUAACAUUCAGCUCAGAGUUCCAGGAGUGCCUUCAGAGCAAACCUGUUAGUGAGGACGGCUGGCCAGCUUAGCCCUCCUGAGCUCCGAAGAGAUCCCCCAGUCCCAGCCCCUGGAUUUGCCAGAGUGAACCCAAGCCCAGUCAGUUUUGCCUUUCUGGGUAUCUCCGGUACAGUGCCUGGCAUGCAGUAAGUGCUUAGUAAAUAAGAGGGAGCAUUUAUGGAGUGCUUAGAGCCCUUUACAGAUGGUAUCUU